UCAAGUGAAUAAGUGCAUGUGGUGGAUGCCUUGGCGAUUACAGGCGAUGAAGGACGUAGUAGCUUGCGAAAAGCUGCGGGGAGCUGGCAAACGAGCUUUGAUCCGCAGAUGUCCGAAUGGGGAAACCCACUCAGCAAUGAGUAUCCCGCAAGGGAGGCAAACCUGGAGAACUGAAACAUCUAAGUACCCAGAGGAAAAGAAAUCAACCGAGAUUCCGAAAGUAGUGGCGAGCGAAAUCGGAGGAGCCAUACAGUGUUAUAGUAUUGAGAUAGAAAAACAGGCUGGGAAGCCUGACCGUAGAGGGUGAUAGUCCCGUAUUCGAAAUCCAAUAUUAAGAACUAAGCUGUUAAGAAGUAGGGCGGGACACGUGGAAUCCUGUCUGAACAUGGGGGGACCAUCCUCCAAGGCUAAAUACUCGUAAUCGACCGAUAGUGAACAAGUACCGUGAGGGAAAGGCGAAAAGAACCCCGGGAGGGGAGUGAAAUAGAUCCUGAAACCGCAUGCAUACAAACAGUGGGAGCCCUGAAAUAGCGGGUGACUGCGUACCUUUUGUAUAAUGGGUCAGCGACUUACAUUCUGUAGCGAGCUUAACCGAAUAGGGGAGGCGUAGGGAAACCGAGUCUGAAUAGGGCGAUAGUUGCAGGGUGUAGACCCGAAACCGGAUGAGCUAUCCAUGGCCAGGAUGAAGGUGCAGUAACAUGCACUGGAGGUCCGAACCGACUAAUGUUGCAAAAUUAGCGGAUGAGCUGUGGAUAGGGGUGAAAGGCUAAACAAAUCCGGAGAUAGCUGGUUCUCCUCGAAAACUAUUUAGGUAGUGCCUCGUGGUUAACACUUCUUGGGGUAGAGCACUGUUAUGGCUAGGGGGUUAUUGCAACUUACCAAACCAUGGCAAACUCCGAAUACGAGAAAGUGAUACACGGGAGACAGACAUCUGGUGCUAACGUCAGGUGUCGAAAGGGAAACAACCCAGACCGCCAGCUAAGGUCCCAAAUGAUCAAUUAAGUGGUAAACGAUGUGGGAAGGCAUAGACAGCUAGGAUGUUGGCUUAGAAGCAGCCAUCAUUUAAAGAAAGCGUAAUAGCUCACUAGUCAAGUCGUCCUGCGCGGAAGAUGUAACGGGGCUAAAUUGAUAACCGAAGCUGCGGAUAGAACUUAGGUUCUAUGGUAGAGGAGCGUUCUGUAGGCCAAUGAAGGUGUCUUGAGAAGGAUGCUGGAGGUAUCAGAAGUGCGAAUGCUGACAUGAGUAGCGUUAAAGCGGGUGAAAAGCCCGCUCGCCGAAAGUCCAAGGUUUCCUACGCAACGUUAAUCGGCGUAGGGUGAGUCGGCCCCUAAGGUGAGGCAGAGAUGCGUAGCCGAUGGGAAACAGGUUAAUAUUCCUGUACCGAUGUAUAGUGCGAUGUGGGGACGGAGAAGGUUAGGUUAGCCAACUGUUGGAAAUGUUGGUUUAAGCGUGAAGGUGUGUAUCUUAGGCAAAUCCGGGAUACUUUAACACUGAGGCGUGAUGACGAGGUGCUACGGCACUGAAGUAAUUGAUACCAUGCUUCCAGGAAAAGCCACUAAGCUUCAGCUAUAUAUUGACCGUACCGCAAACCGACACUGGUGGACGAGAUGAGUAUUCUAAGGCGCUUGAGAGAACUCUGGAGAAGGAACUCGGCAAAUUGACACCGUAACUUCGGAAGAAGGUGUGCCUUUAGUAGGUGAACCAUUUACUUGGGGAGCCCAAUGAGGUUGCAAAAAAUCGGUGGCUGCGACUGUUUAUUAAAAACACAGCACUCUGCAAACACGAAAGUGGACGUAUAGGGUGUGACGCCUGCCCGGUGCUGGAAGAUUAAAUGAUGGGGUGCAAGCUCUUGAUUGAAGUCCCAGUAAACGGCGGCCGUAACUAUAACGGUCCUAAGGUAGCGAAAUUCCUUGUCGGGUAAGUUCCGACCCGCACGAAUGGCGUAACGAUGGCCACACUGUCUCCUCCAGAGACUCAGCGAAGUUGAAAUGUUUGUGAAGAUGCAAUCUCCCCGCGGCUAGACG
rnacentral:rRNA from 1 species